GAAUUUUUAUUAACCUGCCAAAUAUCCCCUAUUUAUUUAGUUUUUUAAUAAUUUUAAUAACCUAAACAUUAAAUAACAAAAUAUUUGUGUUAUAGUUCUGUGUAUACCCAACGCCGCGAUAUCCCCAAUGCCAAAACCUCCUUCUUAACUUGAAAACCUUCUUCUUCUAUAAGAAUCUUCUCCUUCCUCUUCAAAAUCUCCGAUUCCUCCAUCUCCCUCUCUCUCUAAAAACUCAGAUACGCCCAUCCCUCUCUCGGAUGCCCUGAAAAACCCUCAGACCUCUUUUAAUUUAGAGUUUUCUGAGUUUUACUAAAUUUAUUCUGUCUUAGCACCNNNNNNNNNNNNNNNNNNNNNNNCAAAAAACCCUCAGACCUCUUUUAAUUUAGAGUUUUCUGAGGUUUAGUCUGAUUAAGUGCAGAAUGAAUCUUAGAAACUAAGAUUUUGUGCAAAGGGUUUGUAUUCUUUGAAGGGCUUAGGUCAACUUGUUGUGCAAAGGUUACAAACGAAGGUC
rnacentral:lncRNA from 1 species